UACGUAGGGUGCAGGCGUUAAUCGGAAUUACUGGGCGUAAAGCGUGCGCAGGCGGCUCUUUAAGUCAGAUGUGAAAGCCCCGGGCUUAACCUGGGAAUUGCGUUUGAAACUGGAGAGCUUGAGUGUGGAAGAGGGGGGUGGAAUUCCAGGUGUAGCAGUGAAAUGCGUAGAGAUCUGGAGGAACACCGAUGGCGAAGGCAGCCCCCUGGGCUAACACUGACGCUGAGGUGCGAAAGCGGGGGGAGCAAACAGG
rnacentral:rRNA from 1 species